UUUCUCUAUUUGGCAGAAUGCUAAAAGAAGAACAGAAGGAAACACAAUCAUCGAAGGAGUCAAGGGAUACUGCUCACAGGUGUAUCUUGUUUUUAUGCACAAGCUUAUUACAAAACAAUACAUUUUUGACCUAGAAUUAUGUUUAUCAGUACAGUAAGAAUUAACAAUUUACCUUUCUGGUUUUUGUCAAGGAUGACGAAACACUGCAAGGGAAUUUCUCUGUACAGUGUGCACAGGGAGAGCCGGUAUCAAGAGAUUUAUGCAAGUCAAGAGACUUUCUCCAAGGAAUUGAUGGCAUUAUUGACCUGACAUCUCCUGUUGCACACACGACGACCACUUGGGACAAUGCAAAAACUUGUUACUCACCAAUGGAUUUCUCCAACAUUGCUGCCCCUGAAAGUUCAUCACAACAUCACAAGAAGUUUUACUCCAAAGCUGCAAUAAUUGGGAAGAGGUUGUUUCAAGAUAACUACAAUGAAUAUGCUGAACAGUACGACACUAGAGAGCAACCAAUUCCAAUCACCGAUGGGCUAGCGUAAGUGGGUUGUGAUCAUUGAUAGAACAAUGUUAUCACUAGGACAGCUAGGCGACUCUUUCGAUGCAAAUGGUCAUGUAGAAGCCUAUGUUAUCAAUGUCUUCUGCCGCAUACUAUUCAGAAAUAACCACCCAAGACAGUCAAAGAAGCAUUACUUCUUCAGCACAGUCUCUGAGUACUUUCUUGAGAAGUGGGGAAACGAGGGAGCAAGGUUGGCUAUGAGGAAUAGAGCACUUAUUACCUUUGAUGGAGCAGGAAAAGCUCUCGCCCUACAUGAAAGCGACCGUGUAUGUAUUCCCCCUCACCAUCCCCUUUUUUGUUUUAUGGUUUUCUGUGCAUUACAUGUGUUCAAUUGCUUUUCAUUUUUCUUACAAACUGUCACUAAAAAUG